rnacentral:rRNA from 1 species
GACGAACGCUGGCGGCGUGCCUAAUACAUGCAAGUAGAACGCAGUUGCGAACGGGUGAGUAAAGCGUAGGUAACUGCCUCAUAGCGGGGGAUAACCAUUGGAAACGAUAGCUAAUACCGCAUACUGUGAGAUGGACCUGCGUUGUAUUAGGUAGUUGGUGAGGUAAAGGCUCACCAAGGCGACGAUACAUAGCCGACCUGAGAGGGUUGUCCGGCACAACGGGACUGGGACAAGGGCCCGACUCCCUCGGGAGGGAACCGUAGGGGAUCUUCGGAAAAUGGGGGAAGUCUGACCAAGCAAAGCCGCGUGAUAUAAGAAGGGUUUCGGAUCUGAAAGCUCUGUUGUUAGGGAAGCGGUAACUAAACAGAAAGGGCCGGCUAACUACGUGCCAGCAGCCGCGGUAAUAC